UAGAUACUCCCUCCGUCUGAAAAAACUUGUCCCUCAAAUGGAUGUAUCUAGCACCAAGUUAGUGCUAGAUACAUCCAUUUGAGAGACAAGUUUGGGACAAGCUUUUCCGGACGGAGGGAGUAUAUG
rnacentral:pre_miRNA from 1 species